rnacentral:rRNA from 1 species
UACGUAGGGGGGCUAGCGUUGUCCGGAAUCAUUGGGCGUAAAGCGCGUGUAGGCGGUCCGGUAAGUCCGCUGUGAAAGUCGGGGGCUCAACCCUCGGAUGCCGGUGGAUACUGUCGGGCUUGAGUACGGAAGAGGCGAGUGGAAUUCCUGGUGUAGCGGGUGAAAUGCGCAGAUAUCAGGAGGAACACCGAUUGCGAAGGCAGCUCGCUGGGACGUUACUGGACGCUGAGACGCGAAAGCGUGGGGGAGCAAACAGG